rnacentral:misc_RNA from 1 species
GUAGGUGAACCUGCGGAAGGAUCAUUACCGAGUUAGGGUCGCCUCCCAGGUGCCCGACCUCCCAACCCUGUGUCUAAAUUACCUCAGUUGCUUCGGUGGGCCGGGCGCGACCAACUGGCUUAGUAGGCCAGGCUGGCUUCGUGACCGGUGGCCGGGGAUACCCCCCGGCGGCAGAGUGCCCACCGAUGGCCCCCAUAAAACUCUUGAUACCUAAACCUGUCGUCUGAAUUUACUUGAUAUUGAAUCAAAACAAAACUUUCAACAACGGAUCUCUUGGUUCUG